GAGUUUGAUCAUGGCUCAGGACGAACGCUGGCGGCGUGCUUAACACAUGCAAGUCGAACGGAAAGGCCCCCACUUUUUUGGUGGGGGUGCUCGAGUGGCGAACGGGUGAGUAACACGUGGGUGAUCUGCCCUGUACUUCGGGAUAAGCUUGGGAAACUGGGUCUAAUACCGGAUAGGACCAUGGUUUAGUGUCUCAUGGUGGAAAAAUUAUUGUUUUGGUGCAGGAUGAGCUCGCGGCCUAUCAGCUUGUUGGUGGGGUAAUGGCCUACCAAGGCGUCGACGGGUAGCCGGCCUGAGAGGGUGGACGGCCACAUUGGGACUGAGAUACGGCCCAGACUCCUACGGGAGGCAGCAGUGGGGAAUAUUGCACAAUGGGCGCAAGCCUGAUGCAGCGACGCCGCGUGGGGGAUGACGGCCUUCGGGUUGUAAACUCCUUUCGUUAGGGACGAAGCCGCACCUUUUUUGGGUGUGGUGACGGUACCUUUGUUAAGAAGCACCGGCUAACUACGUGCCAGCAGCCGCGGUAAUACGUAGGGUGCGAGCGUUGUCCGGAAUUACUGGGCGUAAAGAGCUCGUAGGUGGUUUGUUGCGUCGUCUGUGAAAUUCCGGGGCUUAACUUCGGGGUGGCAGGCGAUACGGGCAUAACUAGAGUGCUGUAGGGGAGACUGGAAUUCCUGGUGUAGCGGUGGAAUGCGCAGAUAUCAGGAGGAACACCGAUGGCGAAGGCAGGUCUCUGGGCAGUAACUGACGCUGAGGAGCGAAAGCAUGGGGAGCGAACAGGAUUAGAUACCCUGGUAGUCCAUGCUGUAAACGGUGGGCGUUAGGUGUGGGGACCGGUUUGGUUUCUGUGCCGUAGCUAACGCAUUAAGCGCCCCGCCUGGGGAGUACGGCCGCAAGGCUAAAACUCAAAGGAAUUGACGGGGGCCCGCACAAGCGGCGGAGCAUGUGGAUUAAUUCGAUGCAACGCGAAGAACCUUACCUGGGUUUGACAUGCACCAGACGGUUGUAGAGAUACGUACCUCCCUUUGUGGUUGGUGUGCAGGUGGUGCAUGGUUGUCGUCAGCUCGUGUCGUGAGAUGUUGGGUUAAGUCCCGCAACGAGCGCAACCCUUGUCUUAUGUUGCCAGCACUUUGGGUGGGGACUCAUGAGAGACUGCCGGGGUUAACUCGGAGGAAGGUGGGGAUGACGUCAAAUCAUCAUGCCCUUUAUGCCCAGGGCUUCACACAUGCUACAAUGGUUGGUACAACGCGCUGCGAGCCUGUGAGGGUGAGCGAAUCGCUGAAAGCUAAUCUCAGUUCGGAUUGGGGGUCUGCGAACUCGACCCCGUGAAAGUCGGAGUCGCUAGGAAUCGCGGAUCUGCGAUGCUGCGGUAAGUCGUUUCCCGGGCCGUGUCGCACCGCCCGCCG
rnacentral:rRNA from 1 species